rnacentral:rRNA from 1 species
CAGCAGCCGCGGGAAUACGUAGGGUGCGAGCGUUAAUCGGAAUUACUGGGCGUAAAGCGUGCGCAGGCGGUUGUGUAAGACAGGUGUGAAAUCCCCGGGCUUAACCUGGGAACUGCGCUUGUGACUGCACAGCUAGAGUAUGGCAGAGGGGGGUGGAAUUCCACGUGUAGCAGUGAAAUGCGUAGAGAUGUGGAGGAACACCGAUGGCGAAGGCAGCCCCCUGGGCCAAUACUGACGCUCAUGCACGAAAGCGUGGGGAGCAAACAGGAUUAGAUACCCCUGUAGUCCCUGUCUCUUAUAA